rnacentral:rRNA from 1 species
AUACGGAGGGUGCAAGCGUUAUUCGGAGUCACUGGGCGUAAAGGACGCGUAGGCGGGUUGGCAAGUCAGAUGUGAAAUCCUACAGCUUAACUGUAGAACUGCAUUUGAAACUGCUAACCUAGAGUAUGGGAGGGGGAGAUGGAAUUAGUGGUGUAGGGGUAAAAUCCGUAGAUAUCACUAGGAAUACCGAAAGCGAAGGCGAUCUCCUGGAACAUAACUGACGCUAAGGCGUGAAAGCGUGGGGAGCAAACAGGAUUAGAUACCCUAGUAGUCC